AUUGAACGCUGGCGGCAUGCUUUACACAUGCAAGUCGAACGGUAACAGGCCGCAAGGUGCUGACGAGUGGCGCACGGGUGAGUAAUGCAUCUGAACGUGCCCAGUCGUGGGGGAUAACUACUCGAAAGAGUAGCUAAUACCGCAUACGCUCUAUGGAUGAAAGCGGGGGACCGUAAGGCCUCGCGCGAUUGGAGCGGCCGAUGUCAGAUUAGGUAGUUGGUGGGGUAAAGGCUCACCAAGCCAACGAUCUGUAGCUGGUCUGAGAGGACGACCAGCCACACUGGGACUGAGACACGGCCCAGACUCCUACGGGAGGCAGCAGUGGGGAAUUUUGGACAAUGGGCGCAAGCCUGAUCCAGCAAUGCCGCGUGCAGGAAGAAGGCCUUCGGGUUGUAAACUGCUUUUGUACGGAACGAAACGGCUCUGGUUAAUACCCGGGGCUAAUGACGGUACCGUAAGAAUAAGCACCGGCUAACUACGUG
rnacentral:rRNA from 1 species